UUUGAGGUGGUGUGUUGUGUGGACCGGUGGGGCCACACCCAUGGCUGUGGGAGUGUGUGGUGGUGGUGGUGGGCAGUGUGUUUCUUUUUUCUUCUCUUGAGUUGCCUCCUCCUGACCUUGGCCUGACCUUCCAGCCUUUGCUCCUCGGCACAGCCAGGUGAAGCACGCCUUCAAUGGGAACCGGUCUCCCGAGGGUGUCACCAAGGCUCUCCAUCUCCAGCAGGACGUGGCGGGGGUCAAGAUGGCAGGCAAGCAAGCAAGUAAAUAAGACAUUGGUGUGUGUUGGAUGCCUGCGUGACUCCAUGCUACGCUGGCCUGCCACACCACAGGAUACAUUGAUGGUAGUGUCACCUCAACAGACACUACACUGUUGUCAUGUGUGGCAGUGCCUGUAAGGACAACACACCCCUCCACCGGCACCACUGUUGUGUCUGGUGAGCCUUGAGCCGUGGUGUGGGAGGAAGGAUUAGCGUGUCAAUACACUACACUAUACAAUUCAUCCUUGGCUUUUUGGUUCAGUAUGUGUGUUGUGUUGUGGUGUGUGAACUCCCUGCCUCAUUCUGUAUUUCAAUUCCUACGACGACUUCAUUGCAGAGGGAGAGCUCCACACAUUUAGUUAUUUUAUUUUUUAUUUAAUUAAUUUAUUUAUUUAUUAUUAUUUUAUUUAUAUAUUUAUUGUUAUUUAUUUAUUCAUUUUUUUAUUUAUUUUUAUUUUA
rnacentral:misc_RNA from 1 species